UGCGUAGGCGGUUUGGUAAGUCUUGUGUGAAAUCUAUGGGCUCAACUCAUAGACUGCACGAGAAACUGCCGGGCUUGAGUGUGGGAGAGGUGAGUGGAAUUCCUGGUGUAGCGGUGAAAUGCGUAGAUAUCAGGAGGAACACCUGUGGCGAAAGCGGCUCACUGGACCACAACUGACGCUGAUGCACGAAAGCUAGGGGAGCAAACAGGAUUAGAUACCCUGGUAGUCCUAGCCCUAAACGAUGACUGCUUGGUGUGACGGGUACCCAAUCCCGCCGUGCCGUAGCUAACGCGUUAAGCAGUCCGCCUGGGGAGUACGGUCGCAAGGCUGAA
rnacentral:rRNA from 1 species